rnacentral:rRNA from 1 species
GACUUCUUGAUGUCCAAUGAACUCCAAACGGUUUCAUAACGGUCUCGAC